rnacentral:rRNA from 1 species
GGCCUAACACAUGCAAGUCGAGCGGCAGCGGGAAAGUAGCUUGCUACUUUUGCCGGCGAGCGGCGGACGGGUGAGUAAUGCCUGGGGAUCUGCCCAGUCGAGGGGGAUAACAGUUGGAAACGACUGCUAAUACCGCAUACGCCCUACGGGGGAAAGGAGGGGACCUUCGGGCCUUUCGCGAUUGGAUGAACCCAGGUGGGAUUAGCUAGUUGGUGGGGUAAUGGCUCACCAAGGCGACGAUCCCUAGCUGGUCUGAGAGGAUGAUCAGCCACACUGGAACUGAGACACGGUCCAGACUCCUACGGGAGGCAGCAGUGGGGAAUAUUGCACAAUGGGGGAAACCCUGAUGCAGCCAUGCCGCGUGUGUGAAGAAGGCCUUCGGGUUGUAAAGCACUUUCAGCGAGGAGGAAAGGUUGAUGCCUAAUAUGCAUCAGCUGUGACGUUACUCGC